CCUACGGGUGGCUGCAGUGGGGAAUAUUGCGCAAUGGGCGAAAGCCUGACGCAGCGACGCCGCGUGAGGGAUGAAGGUCUUCGGAUCGUAAACCUCUGUCAGCAGGGAAGAACAGUCACUGUGCUAAUCAGCAGUGAAUUGCCGGUACCUGCAAAGGAAGCACCGGCUAACUCCGUGCCAGCAGCCGCGGUAAUACGGAGGGUGCGAGCGUUAAUCGGAAGUACUGGGCGGAAAGCGCUCGUAGACGGUAUGUCAAGUGAAGGGUGAAAUGCCCGCGCUCAACGUGGGAACUGCCUUUGAAACUGGCAAACUGGAGUGUGUGAGAGGAUAGUGGAAUGCCAGGUGUAGGGGUGAAAUGCGUAGAUAUCUGGAGGAACAUCAGUGGCGAAGGCGACUAUCUGGCACAUAACUGACGCUGAGGAGCGAAAGCGUGGGUAGCAAACAGGAUUAGAUACCCGGGUAGUC
rnacentral:rRNA from 1 species